rnacentral:rRNA from 1 species
GACGAACGCUGGCGGCGUGCUUAACACAUGCAAGUCGAACGAUGAAACCUAGCUUGCUAGGUCGAUUAGUGGCGAACGGGUGAGUAACACGUGACUAACCUGCCCCUUCCUCUGGGAUAACGCUCCGAAAGGAGUGCUAAUACCGGAUACUCACACCGAGGCACAUGCCUUGGUGUGGAAAGUUUUUCGGAAAGGGAUGGAGUCGCGGCCUAUCAGCUUGUUGGUGAGGUAACGGCUCACCAAGGCGACGACGGGUAGCCGGCCUGAGAGGGCGACCGGCCACACUGGGACUGAGACACGGCCCAGACUCCUACGGGAGGCAGCAGUGGGGAAUAUUGCACAAUGGGCGCAAGCCUGAUGCAGCGAAGCCGCGUGAGGGAUGAAGGUCUUCGGAUUGUAAACCUCUUUCAGUAGGGACGAAGCGAAAGUGACGGUACCUAAAGAAGAAGCACCGGCUAACUACGUGCCAGCAGCCGCAGUAA